rnacentral:rRNA from 1 species
CAUUAAAGAGUUCUAUAACUCCCAAACCCAUGUGAACAUACCUAACGUUGCCUCGGCAGGUCGCACCUACCUUGUAGCACCCUACCCUGUAGGGCCUACCCGGGAGGUGCGGGUAAGCCUGCCGGCGGCCCACCAAACUCUGUUUGAUAUUGAAUUCUGAACCUAUAACUAAAUAAGUUAAAACUUUCAACAACGGAUCUCUUGGUUCUGGCAUCGAUGAAGAACGCAGCGAAAUGCGAUAAGUAAUGUGAAUUGCAGAAUUCAGUGAAUCAUCGAAUCUUUGAACGCAUAUUGCGCCCAUUAGUAUUCUAGUGGGCAGGACCGUUCGAGCGUCAUUUCAACCCUUAAGCCUUCGUUGCUUAGUGUUGGGAGCCUACGGCAACGUAGCUCCUCAAAGUUAGUGGCGGAGUUGGUUCACACUCUAGACGUAGUAAUUUUUUAUCUCGCCUAUUAGUUGGACUAAUCCCCUGCCGUAAAACCCCUAAUUUAUCAAGGUUGACCUCGAAUCGGUUCAGACAAACUCGCUAAAUUGAAGCAUCUUAGUCAGCGAAGGAAAAGAAACCAACAGGGAUUGCCCUAGUAACGGCGAGUGAAGCGGCAACAGCUCAAAUUUGAAAUCUGGCCCUCGGGUCC